rnacentral:rRNA from 1 species
GGAAUUCGCCCUUAGAGGGCCUUUUGGCUCAGGACGAACGCUGGCGGCGUGCUUAACACAUGCAAGUUGAACGGGGUUCGCUCUAUGAAGUGUUGUAGCGAAUUAGAGCGAUGAGAGUAGCGGACGGGCGAGUAACGCGUGAGUAACCUGCCCUUUGCUGGGGGAUAACAUCGGGAAACCGGUGCUAAUACCGCAUAAGACCACAGUGCCACAUGGUACGGCGGUCAAAGCUCCGGCGGCAAAGGAUGGACUCGCGUCCAAUUAGCUAGUUGGUAGGGUAAUGGCCUACCAAGGCGACGAUUGGUAUCCGAACUGAGAGGUUGAUCGGACGCAUUGGGACUGAGACACGGCCCAGACUCCUACGGGAGGCAGCAGUGGGGAAUAUUGCGCAAUGGGGGCAACCCUGACGCAGCAACGCCGCGUGAAGGAUGAAGGCUUUCGGGUUGUAAACUUCUUUGAUCGGGGACGAAGAUGACGGUACCCGAGGAACAAGCCACGGCUAACUACGUGCCAGCAGCCGCGGUAAUACGUAGGUGGCAAGCGUUGUCCGGAAUUACUGGGUGUAAAGGGCGUGUAGGCGGGGAGACAAGUCAGAUGUGAAAUACCGUGGCUUAACUGCGGGGGUGCAUCUGAAACUGUUUCUCUUGAGUGUCGGAGAGGAAAGUGGAAUUCCCAGUGUAGCGGUGAAAUGCGUAGAGAUUGGGAGGAACACCAGUGGCGAAGGCGGCUUUCUGGACGAUAACUGACGCUGAGGCGCGAAAGCGUGGGUAGCAACCAAAAGGAGAUACCCUGGUAGUCCACGCCGU